GGGGAAUUUUCCGCAAUGGGCGAAAGCCUGACGGAGCAAUACUGCGUGAGGGAUGACGGCCUAUGGGUUGUAAACCUCUUUUAUCAGGGAGGAAUCAAUGACGUUACCUGAUGAAUAAGCAUCGGCUAACUCCGUGCCAGCAGCCGCGGUAAGACGGGGGAUGCAAGUGUUAUCCGGAAUCACUGGGCGUAAAGCGUCUGUAGGUGGUCCAAUAAGUCAACUGUUAAAUCUUGAGGCUCAACCUCAAAAUCGCAGUCGGAACUAUUAGACUAGAGUAUAGUAGGGGUAAAGGGAAUUUCCAGUGGAGCGGUGAAAUGCGUAGAGAUUGGAAAGAACACCGAUGGCGAAGGCACUUUACUGGGCUAUUACUAACACUCAGAGACGAAGGCUAGGGUAGCANAUGGGAUUAGAUACCCCAGUAGUC
rnacentral:rRNA from 1 species